UCUCAUUGGAUUAUUGGAUCAUUUGCUCAUUGAGCUUUGAAUCGGCAACCUGUGAAGACGUGCGUCUGAUUCUCUCGAUAUUCAAUCGUUUUAGCAUAGUCUGUGUGGUUCUAGGUUACGCAAUAUGCUUCCCUCUUUCGAUCACCUAUCUCUAUCUGCAGACGAACAAAGGCUAAUCAAUAUUAUACUCCAAAGAAUCGAAGAGCUAGAAGAUAUGACGGAAGACGAAGAUAAUCUUGAUCCCGCCGUGAUGCAUGACCUCCAACGUCUCAUCAUUGGGGAGCCCCGCGAACCAAUACAAGUUCAUGGAGAUGGUCCUCUCGAGGGAGAGAUUACAUUCAACCUAGUGUAUGAAUUAUUAGUUUUUUAUCUGCUCUGCAUCUUCGUUGCCUGCAUGAUGUUAGUCAUUUUCCAGUGCAAAGUACACUAGAGGCUCCUAAACUCCUAGAUCACCAGAGAUUGUCAACUCAGCUAUGAUGCAGCAGAGUAAAAAACAUCCGUUUAUCGAUUAAUAUCAAAUUUGAAUUGUCGUUUUUGACUAAAAUAAUUUCGAAUUCUAUAAUGAAAUUAUAAAAAUCAUUAAAAAUAAAUACAAAAAAAAUAAAUAAUAAAAAAAAAUUAAUUAAAUAUCCAUUCAAUUUUGUAAUGUUUUUUAAGGUUAAAAGGGUUUUUCAUUGUUACAUCAUUUCUUAUUUUUUUCAUGAAUAAUAAUCAUUGAUAAAAUGUCAACAAAAUAAAAGCUAUUGCUAUAAAA